UCAAUAUGCACUUGUUGAAUAAAUUGAAGGAACAAACAACUUUAAGAAAAAGGAAUAACAAGCUGGGAGUGAUAGCUCAUGCCUUGGAGACAGAGACUGGAGGAUUGCAGAGCCAGCCUAGGCCAGGCACAGUUAGCACAAACCUAUCUCAACUAAUCAAACAAAAUAGUGAGACAAGAGGUUCAAGAUUGGAGGGAGGAGAGAGGUAAGAAGAAAAGGAGAGUAUUCAAAACCAGCCAUGAUCCUGUGUUGAGGAAAUGGGUUCUUCCACUAAGAAUGACAGGGGGCUACAGCUGAGAUACACACUAGUUGGAUCCUUGCCACAUUUCCACACUGCCAAACAUGAUGAGGGGCUUGGACCCCACUGACAAGAGAAGCUUUGACAGACAACACUAUCGAGGAGGCCAAGACAGGCCUGACACUUGGCUGUGAGUCAGCAGAAAUACAGGACUGCAGGACCCCCUGAGGGGGGUGACAGAGAAAGGCCUUCUUCUUGAGCAACUGUGGAGUCAGCACAAGGACCAAUGGAGUUCCCUGGUGGAGAGGCAGAAAAAAACGACUGUUAGCAGAGACCAGUGGCUGGUUCCCUAGGGCUGGAGGUGUAGGCCAGCCUUCCUUGGGAAGAGGAGCAGUGGUGAGGCCUGUGAUGGGGGCCCCACCUCUGUUCUCUUAAAAAGCAAAAUGGCUUGCUUUGCUUCAUGGCUGUAUGAAGCAGGCAAAGCAAAUCAUGGCCGAGCCUCCAAGAGGCCCCCUGUCCCCACUGCUUGUUGCUGGGUGCUGAUGUCACAUGUCUCCACCCCAUCUGUCUGCAGUCCAGACCCCCUGUGCCACUCUCCUGCAGGAAGAGGGAGGGCAAGGGAGACUGGCCUAGGGGAGGGGGGAAAGAGGAGCGGCGCUGCGCAGUCUGGGGUGCAAAGCACCAAGGGGCGGCUUUGGUAUCCAUCCGCUGCUCCCUCCAGCGCAGUGAUUCCCGACCUGCCAAUAUUGCUUCCGCAGGCGCCCCAGCCCCUAGCCCUGGGCAAACACAGAGCCAGGGAGCCUAGCAGAAGCAGGGAAGCAAGGAGGUCGCCAGGUCUGAGUGUGCUGGGUGCAGGGAGGCAGGGCGCGUGGCGGGGCCCGCCCCUGAGACUGGGGCUGGCGCAGGCCCCGCCCACCCCGGGUCGGAACUACGGUUGGCCUGGGAGGGGGCGUCCCGCGCUGACGCGGCCAUAUCCCUCCGCCCCCCUUCCGGACUCACUCGGAGCUAGCGGUUCUUGCCGCAUCCUGUGCAGCCCCUGCCGGCUUUGGUGCAGAGGCUUGGGGGCGGGCCGCCUCUUUGCGCUUGGGCUCCUGGGGACAGCAGUGGGAGUUCCAGAGAGCAGCUGCUGGGAGAGGAAAGGAAGGCGUCUGAGUGGAAGAGGAGCGCAGCUGUGGAGGGGGGCCCGUCUCCCCGGGCCCUGAGCCCGUACAGGCAAGUGGGGGUGUGCGGAGGGUGCGGGAGUGGGUCUCCCCGUGUUGACAGGCUGACAGCCUGUCCCCGAGACCUUGGCAGUUGGACACCGAGGAAGCGUGCUGGGCCAGAGGAUCCUCCAGGGAGGUGUGACACAUUCUGAGAGGCCACAGUGAACAUCUGUAGAGGAGAGGCUUGAGAAAAAGAAGAGCAGAAAGCCGUCUGGGUUUCUGGAGACCUGCUUUAGGGCUGGUCAGUACUGCCAGAAAGGAACAGACCAGAAGACUGGCUCAAAUCUCUGGUGAUUGGUGAGGAAGGACACCGGCAGGCCUGAAGACC